CUCGCCAUCGUUCCCGUCUCUGCACGUUCAAUGCCCAAAGAACCCACACGUUCUCCACCUCCUCGCUCCCUCCCGCAAGCCCAAACCACUCCGUCCCCUUCCUUUCCAUCUCUCCUUCCUACUACAUCCACUGCGGUCGCUACGGCCGCCGCCAUCGCCCAUCUCCCCCCUCCCUAUCUCCACCACUGCAUCGUGCUUCACCGCGGUACAUCCCAGCGCCGCCGCUGCUGCACCCCGCCAUCUCUCUCAUGCGAUGGCGGUGAUGGCGGAGGCCCGAAAUCCGAUCUCCUCUGCAGCCCGCCAACACUGGAGAUGGAAGACCACGACGGAAGCGGUCAUGUGGUAGGAGGUGUUGCGCGGGAGAAUGCAACGGCGGGGAGGGAGGUCGGGGUUAUCCGAGCUAUGGUGGAUGUCGAGGAGGAGGAGAAGUACGCAUUUGGCAGCGUGGGCAGGGUGCUUGCCGGAAUGCCCCAAAGAUGGGCGCCAUCGUGCUCACAUGCGGUGUCAAUUUGGCGGUCAACUCCAACUGUGUCACUACUUCCGCGCUCUGCCUCUUCAGGCAUGACAAUCUCAAGGCUGUGGGUCUUGCUUCCGAAAUAGGGUGACCAAGGAGGUCCCCGUUGAUUCCCUGAUGGAUCAGGCGGGAAUCUGUGGAUAUCUUCGUCAAAGGUGAGCUGGAUGACAUGCUUUACGGGUGUAGGUUUGAUGGCAUCUUGGCCCCUCACUGCUGACAGUACUUCUUUGCUUCCAAUGUUGUAGUGGAUCCAUAUAGUAUGUUGAUGAUAUGCAUACUUUUCUGUUUGCUUUGUGAUGUUCACAUUUGAAAUUGUAUUAAUAUGCUGGAGCCCUGCUUUUUGCGUUGCAAGCCAAGAGGAAUAUGGUGUUCCUGCACAUUGUGACGGUUGUUUGCUUCAAAUGGCUGGUGCGAUCCAUCUUUCGUGUACCACGGUAUUACCUAAAUUGCUGAAUAUAUCUGGUGCAUUUCUCUCUCUCUCUCUUGUUUAACAUUUUUAUUCUGUCUUCCACUAUAUUACAUUGCGUGAGACAGUCAUGAUUAAAACAUGCAGUAAAGGAACUGACGUAGCUGCAUAACUGGGAUUUGUGAUUUUCUUUUCCAACUUCCAAAUUCCUAAUGUGCUUGCACUCUAAAAUUCCCGGACAGAGGUGAUGUGUGUCCAUCUUUUCGCUCCGAUUAACUUCAUAGGUACAUGUGGACAUGCCCUACUGAGCUGAUUGAUGAUUCUAAUUCACAUGUACGAUCGAAGCAGAAAGGGGACAACAGGUCAAAGAAUGUGGUUUUCUCUCAUGUUUGUUCAUGCAUGGCAUGCUUCUCAUGAUCUCUAAUGGUGGUGUUGUUGUUUCUAACUUUAUAAUAUUUCCUCCGCAUGGACCUUGAUAUAUUUCACAUUCAUAUAGGCAGUUGACUUACAUCCGAUGAAUGAUUUCACUUCAGAUUAUAGGCUAUCACACAAGUGUCCUAUUAUGACUAACCCAUGUUUUGAAUGGAGACAUCUUCUUACCGUUCCCAUAUCCUUCAGAGUUUUUUUACUUGUGGGAGAUGCAAAUAUGUUUCGGGAAAGGGGACAACACACAUCUUUUCAAUUUUGGGCAAGUACUAUUCUGCUAAAAGUAUUUGACGUGUUAGCCUGCAUGUGUUUUUGAAUGAAUUUGCAGUAGUUUUUGCGCUCAACAAUAUUUUUCCCAUUGUAGUAUUUUAGCUGCCUUUAUUGGCAUGCACAUUCUUAACCAAUUAGUAUGCACAUUCCUAUUUUGUUAUCAUAUUUACUAUAGGUGCAGCUGUCACAAAAGCGAUGUAAUAAGGCUGAACAAUUCAAUUAUAAUUGCCAUGAACUUGUUCAAUACCUAGCAUUGUUAGAAUAUUUUGUUAUACACUCUUUUCGAGAAUAAAACAUUUGCUCCUUUUGAGUAAUGUAAUGUUUGAACAGUUCGUUUCGAAGGGAGCUAGAAGGGUGCGUAGUAUCUUCUAGAGUAAGAUCAAGCAUAAGCAACACCUUCAUUUUUUUCAAACUACUAGCAUAUUAAGUUCUGCUCAAUAAUUAAUAUGAUGGCAAAGGUAUGAUCAAUUCUCUUUGUGCUUUAAACUUUGUCAUCCACUGCCCAACUUAAUUCAUUUUGCUAGGCCAUAAAGGCUUUACUUGCUUCUGAAUCUUACGUCCACCUCUCGUUGGCAUGAGUGGUGGCAUGGUCUUCAGGGGUGAGCUUGGAGCCCGGGAUUGAUUAUGAGGCUAUAGCUUGGGUUUGAUUUGUAUCGGUGCUGAAAAUGUGAUUUGUGCCAGGAAGUAGUCAGUUAGUUGUACUAUGCUAUUAUUGGUGUGCAUUUAUAUUAAAAAUUAAAAUUGUAACUCAAGUAUGUUUCUUACUGGAGUCAACUACAUGAACACUGAACGUGUCCAAACUGAGCAGUGUAUUGACUACUCAUGUUGUAGACAAAGAAACAUAUACACAUCAUUCCUACAUGGUGAGCAUGAAGCCAAAACCAUCCAGCCAUCAGUCUGCUAGCCUUUUUUAGGUAGUCCAGGUUCUGAGCGGGCCAAAUAGACUCUGGUGAUCAUCUGUUCAUCUUCUUUUAUUGUAGCCGUUAGUUUUCCGACUCUGAUUGUCCGCCAUGCCCCUACUCUGGUCUUCUCCCUAGGUAUUUGCAACAAUAAGCCUUUGAGAGUUUUAUUUGUCAUUCAUGUGAGUUCUAUGGAUUUGUCUAUAUCUGAAAAAAGGCGGGUGGUGUACAUCUGAGUUAAUUUGCCAAAUUUGGUUGUAUUUUACAUUGAAAGGAGAAGACGAUCCCUACCACACCUUUGAGUUAUUCCAUUCAUACAUCUUAUGUCCACUUCAGAAUAUUGAUGCAGUGCAGAUAUAAUAAGACUUUGUAGAAGUAAACACCAUCUGAGAAGCGCCAUGGGGAUAAGUUAUUUGGGGGGAGAUGAACAACAGAAGAAGGCACCACAGUCAUGGUGGUGCCGACAAGCUUGGUUGAGACCAAGUAGGUGAAGCUGGUGCCAUCGACAAUCGAGGAGGCACUGGAAAAGUUGUUCUUGUCCAAGUAGCGUCCGGAAGGACCUGCAGGACAGAGGUGGGAGCUUGGUUCUAGAGGUCGUGGGUUGGUCGGAGGAGGAGAGGGGUUGUGUAGAGAUAGUUUGAGAGGUACGAAUGAAAACAUGGGAGGAUAAAGACAAUACCUUGUCUUGCUCAUGUCUGGGCGAUUGAGAAGGAAGCACUUGUAUUGGAGGAGAAAAAUUGCAGGAAUAUGUGGUGGUUUCAAAACUGAUGCAAAAAAAAAUCAUCGAUAUUGGUUGGGUGCAA